UGCUGGUAGUUCAAUGACUUAGAUUUAAGGCGGCGGAUUGAAAAUCCCCGUGUCGGCGGUUCGAUUCCGUCCUCGGCCACCA
rnacentral:tRNA from 1 species